rnacentral:lncRNA from 1 species
CUUUAUUACUGUCACGUAGUAAUUUUGUCAUGUUUAGGAUAGUUAUGACAGUUUUUGUCCAUUCGUUUUUGAUGCGUUUGUUAUUUUUUGCCAUGUGAUUAUGGACUUUCCCAAUUGAUCUUCCUCUAAGUUCAGUAUUUUUGUGAUUUUACUUUGUCAUUUAUAUAAAUCGGAGGUUUGUCUAGCAAUAAGACCAGAUUCUACCCGCCAACUUUUUUCAAAUGCCCUGUACUUAGUCAGGAAUAUGGCAGGUGUUAUCAAAAAUUUCGUUUCUAUGUAUGUUGGCGUUUAUUUUUGUUGCACUGGUGCGUUUCCCUCGGUUUAAGUUUGUUACCCGGAUUAAUUUUCAAGCGAUUUAUGACUUUUGAACAGCGGUAUACUACUGCUGCCUUUAUUUAUACCACCAGACCAGGCAUGAGGUAAUCGCAAUCAGUAAUCGUAAUCAGCUGUGAUCGAUUACAUUUUGCAGUGUAAUUCUAUGUAAUCAGUAAUCAUGCCAUUUCUGAUUACAAGUAAUCGUUAUGUAAUCGAUUAUAUUGCAAACAAG